ensembl:lncRNA
CAGAGGUGGAAGAAGGACAGAAAGCCCUUGAGAACGUCCUUGGACUCCGUGCUCAGUGUAUCCUGUUGGACACUUUCCAUCAUGGCACGAGUGACACAAACCAAAGACCCUGCCAUGGUCCACAGCUGCAGUCGCUCCAGGGAGGUCAAAGAGAACAGAAAUGCAAACGAAUCAAGUCUGCAAGAUGUGCAGCUCAAACAAAAUCCAGCUUGCUUAGGCUCCUGUCCAGCAGUGGCACCACCGAUGCCAGAGCUCCACUCCACAGUAGCACAGUCCCCAAGCAGGGGUGGCUGCUCCCCGAGUCUCUGGAACUGUUUCAAUCAAAUGCUGAUAAGCAGAUGCAAGUCCUUCACAAGCUUGGAGUAACAUUGGACGAAAAUAGAGAUAAAAAGAAGAAGAAGAAAAAAAGAAAACCUAAGGAGUUUCUGGGAAUGUCAACAGCAGAGUGGUUGAAGGCCAACAGUCUGGUUGCAAAGAGGCUUACUAUAUUAGAUGCUGUGGCACCAGCAGCCAUAGCACAUGAUGCUAAAUAUGUCCCCAUGCUGGAAAAACAUGUUUACUCAAAGGUCUUUAAUGAGGUAAGGAUCUUUGUUUUUAAUAUUAUGGCUUUUCCAAACCUGCCAUCGAAGGUCAAUCAUCACUGAUUGUUAAAGUUUUUUGUGAAGUGAAAGUCACAUGGAAGGGGCAGUGAUGUCAAGGAAACAGACACUGCUUUUUCUUCCCUGCGCAUUGAGUUCAUAAAGCGGUGGUGAAAACUGAUAGUGAGUACCUUUUUCUGCCUCCAGGGGGCAGUGCUGUAUCAGUUACGAUGGUAUUGUCAAUUUAGAGUCGAGUCUGAUAGUGGAGCUGAGGUGCCUUGUUUUCUGUGCCCUUUUCUCUUUCUUUUAGUGCCAUUGUUAUCACAAUCAAACAAAAUGCUGUUAGUUUUUUAAGGACAAAAGUAAAGCUGUCAUGUCAGCCAUCAUCUUAGAGAAAUGUUCAAUACUUCAUGUCAAAACAUUGGGGUACAACAAUACCCCCCGUGCACGUUGCAUUUGAUGUGUUCAACAGAACAGUGGUUUAUUAUGUGUAAAUCUAAUCCACUGACACAUUCGGUCCACAGGUGUUUGCUCUUCUCAAUGCAUUAUCAGGGUCUAUGAGGACACUUUACAUGGGGAAAAACACAAUGCGUUGUUUUGUGCUUUUUUGUGUGUUUCAUUUCAAAGAAUGUAAUUUAAAUGCAGGCGCUUGAGGCGGCUCUUUGUUAUUUGUUACAGUGCUGC